rnacentral:rRNA from 1 species
AUUGAACGCUGGCGGCAUGCCUUACACAUGCAAGUCGAACGGCAGCACGGGAGCAAUCCUGGUGGCGAGUGGCGAACGGGUGAGUAAUAUAUCGGAACGUGCCCAGUCGUGGGGGAUAACGUAGCGAAAGCUACGCUAAUACCGCAUACGAUCUACGGAUGAAAGCGGGGGAUCGCAAGACCUCGCGCGAUUGGAGCGGCCGAUAUCAGAUUAGCUAGUUGGUGAGGUAAAGGCUCACCAAGGCGACGAUCUGUAGCUGGUCUGAGAGGACGACCAGCCACACUGGAACUAAGACACGGUCCAGACUCCUACGGGAGGCAGCAGUGGGGAAUUUUGGACAAUGGGCGCAAGCCUGAUCCAGCAAUGCCGCGUGCAGGAUGAAGGCCUUCGGGUUGUAAACUGCCUUUGUACGGAACGAAACGGUGAGCUCUAAUACAGUUUGCUAAUGACGGUACCGUAAGAAUAAGCACCGGCUAACUACGUGCCAGCCGCCGCCGCAG